UCCCACUGGGUAUCAUACUAAUCUCUUUGUCUCCAGCCAUUCUAGAGUGUGCAGUUCUGUCUUCAUUGUGACAGUCUCCAUUUUGAAGACAAAACACUAAGGAAAGGAGUAGAAAUAAGUAUCUUUCCCCUGUCUAAGGAAGGAGAGUGGAGGGAUUAAAAAAUUGCCAACUUUUUGAAGGAUUGGUUUAUAACUUCUCCACCCCACUCUGCUUCAUUCAAGAGGCAAAGGUUCUUCCAAGAACUUCCAGCUCAGCAGUAAAAGUUCAACAAAAACAUCAGUAUCAAGAAUUCAUCUUCAUCCUUUAGCUCAUUGCAAAGACCAAUGAACAUUUGACAGAAGUUAAGAUGAAAUAAAUAUGUAAUGUGCUAAGUGCAAUAUGACACUGUACAGCAAGUAAUCAAGCUGUAGAUCUCAGGAAAACACACUAUCUCUGAAGCUUAAGAGGAUUUUAUGAAGGAUUAUAGGGAUAAUGAGAAAAUGCAUUGCUUCAUUUAACAGAAAACGGCCAGUUGCACUCCAC
rnacentral:lncRNA from 11 species